UACGGAGGGUGCAAGCGUUAUCCGGAUUCACUGGGUUUAAAGGGUGCGUAGGUGGGCAAGUAAGUCAGUGGUGAAAUCUCCGGGCUUAACCCGGAAACUGCCAUUGAUACUAUUUGUCUUGAAUACUGUGGAGGUCAGCGGAAUAUGUCAUGUAGCGGUGAAAUGCUUAGAUAUGACAUAGAACACCAAUUGCGAAGGCAGCUGGCUACACAAAUAUUGACACUGAGGAACGAAAGCGUGGGGAUCAAACAGG
rnacentral:rRNA from 1 species